rnacentral:rRNA from 1 species
UGGGGAAUUUUGGACAAUGGGCGAAAGCCUGAUCCAGCCAUGCCGCGUGAGUGAAGAAGGCCUUCGGGUUGUAAAGCUCUUUCAGCUGGAAAGAAAACGCUCGGGAUAAUACCCCGGGCGGAUGACGGUACCAGCAGAAGAAGCACCGGCUAACUACGUGCCAGCAGCCGCGGUAAUACGUAGGGUGCGAGCGUUAAUCGGAAUUACUGGGCGUAAAGCGUGCGCAGGCGGUUAUGUAAGACAGAUGUGAAAUCCCCGGGCUCAACCUGGGAACUGCGUUUGUGACUGCAUAACUAGAGUACGGCAGAGGGAGGUGGAAUUCCACGUGUAGCAGUGAAAUGCGUAGAGAUGUGGAGGAACACCGAUGGCGAAGGCAGCCUCCUGGGCCAGUACUGACGCUCAUGCACGAAAGCGUGGGGAGCAAACA